rnacentral:rRNA from 1 species
UGUAGCAAUACAUAGUGGCGCACGGGUGCGUAACACGUAUGCAACCUACCUUAUACUGGGGGAUAGCCUUUGGAAACGGAGAUUAAUACCCCAUAGUACAUUUGAUUGGCAUCAAUUAAAUGUUAAAGAUUUAUCGGUAUAAGCUGGGCAUGCGUCCAAUUAGUUAGUUGGUGAGGUAAUGGCUCACCAAGACUUUGAUUGGUAGGGGAACUGAGAGGUUAAUCCCCCACACUGGCACUGAGAUACGGGCCAGACUCCUACGGGAGGCAGCAGUAGGGAAUAUUGGGCAAUGGAGGCAACUCUGACCCAGCCAUGCCGCGUGCAGGAAGAAGGCGUUAUGCGUUGUAAACUGCUUUUAUAUAGGAAGAAAUAGUCCUUGCGAGGAAAGUUGACGGUACUAUAUGAAUAAGCACCGGCUAACUCCGUGCCAGCAGCCGCGGUAAUACGGAGGGUGCAAGCGUUGUCCGGAUUUAUUGGGUUUAAAGGGUGCGUAGGCGGUUUAUUAAGUCAGUGGUGAAAGACGGUCGCUCAACGAUUGCAGUGCCAUUGAUACUGGUAGACUUGAGUGGGAUUGAGGUAGCUGGAAUGGAUAGUGUAGCGGUGAAAUGCAUAGAUAUUAUCCAGAACACCAAUUGCGUAGGCAAGUUACUAAGUCUCAACUGACGCUGAGGCACGAAAGUGUGGGUAUCAAACAGGAUUAGAUACCCUGGUAGUCCACACUGUAAACGAUGAUAACUAACUGUUGGCUUUCGAGUCAGUGGUACAGAGAAAUCGUUAAGUUAUCCACCUGGGGAGUACGC